rnacentral:tRNA from 1 species
GGGAAUGUGGCUUAGUGGUAGAGUGCUUGCCUAGCAUGCAUGAAGGCCUGGGUUUAAUUCCUCAGUACCA